rnacentral:rRNA from 1 species
UACGUAGGGGGCAAGCGUUGUCCGGAAUCAUUGGGCGUAAAGAGCGUGUAGGCGGCCCGGUAAGUCCGCUGUGAAAGUCCAGGGCUCAACCCUGGGAUGCCGGUGGAUACUGUCGGGCUCGAGUCCGGAAGAGGAGUGUGGAAUUCCUGGUGUAGCGGUGAAAUGCGCAGAUAUCAGGAGGAACACCCGUGGCUAAGGCGGCUCUCUAGUACGGUACUGACGCUGAGACGCGAAAGCGUGGGGAGCGAACAGG